rnacentral:rRNA from 1 species
UAGAGCUUUCCCCUUCGGGGGACAAAGUGACAGGUGGUGCAUGGUUGUCGUCAGCUCGUGUCGUGAGAUGUUGGGUUAAGUCCCGCAACGAGCGCAACCCUUAAGCUUAGUUGCCAUCAUUAAGUUGGGCACUCUAAGUUGACUGCCGGUGACAAACCGGAGGAAGGUGGGGAUGACGUCAAAUCAUCAUGCCCCUUAUGAUUUGGGCUACACACGUGCUACAAUGGACA